GUCCACGCCGUAAACGAUGUCUACUAGCCGUUGGCCUCCUUGAGGGGUUAGUGGCGCAGCUAACGCAAUAAGUAGACCGCCUGGGGAGUACGGCCGCAAGGUUAAAACUCAAAUGAAUUGACGGGGCCCGCACAAGCGGUGGAGCAUGUGGUUUAAUUCGACGCAACGCGAAGAACCUUACCUACUCUUGACAUCCUGUGAACCUCGUAGAGAUAUGAGGGUGCCUUCGGGAGCACAGAGACAGGUGCUGCAUGGCUGUCGU
rnacentral:rRNA from 1 species